rnacentral:SRP_RNA from 10 species
UUAGAGUGUCAAGACAAGACCCAGAGUCUUGGUUCCUGUGUUUGCUCCCUGAGUGAAAAAUCAUGCUUCAAAUUGAUUCAUAGAUCUGGCAAAUACCACUGAUACUAGCAGCUGUUUGCUAAUAUUCUGAAUAGGUCAGAUCUUUGGUACAGAUGCUGCCAUCACAAUCCUAGAAGACUCACCAUUGCUUCACAGAGUGGAGGGUAAUAUGGUUUGACUGUGUCCCCACCCAAAUCUCAUCUUGAGCUCCCAUAAUCCCCAUGUGUCAUGAGAGAAACCUGGUGGGAGGUAACUGAAUCAUGGGGGCAGGUAUUUCCCAUGCUGCUGUCAUGAUCUUGAAUAAGUCUCACAAGAUCUGAUGGUUAAACAGCAGUUCCCCUGCACAUGCUCUUUCACCUGCCACCACGUGAGACAUGACUUUGUUCCUCCUUUGCCUUCCACCAUGAUUGUGAGGCCUCCCCAGCCAUGUGGAGCUCUGAGUCCAUUAAACCUCUUUUUCUUUAUAAAUUACCCAGCCUUGGGUAUUUCUUCAUAGCAAUAUGACGAUGAACUAAUAGAGAAGAAAGAAAGAAUGAUACAGGGAAAGAAGAUGGAGGUGAAGGUCAGCUCUGAUCUGGCUCACAGUUUGGGGAGUAAUUACAAAAUUUUAAUUAGGGCCUUGAGAAACAACUCAAUUGAGUUUUCUAUCACCCAAUUCCACAUGAAGGAAAGAAAGCAGCUUAAUGAUUCUAGGAGUUAAGAGGCUUUGGGGCAAAAAAGAAAAGCAUCCUCACAGAUUAUUUCUCAUUUUAAAUAGCAAGAAAAAAAAAUGUUGAUUAUGCCUAGAAGAUGAAAUAAAGGGGAGGGAGUCAGUCAAAGCGGCAUAAUAAAGAUAGACUUAUUUUCAGCACAAUGAGAUUUAAUCAGCAGUAGAGGCAAGGAAAUGUUAACGGGCAGAGAAGGUAGACCUCACAACAAGAACUCAGCCUGGGUGUGGCAGUAAGGCAGGGCAGAAAUGUUUGCCAAACAAUGUUCUUUAUUCCAAGAUACCAAGACAAUUGUUUUCUACUUCUUAUGAAACACAAUGCUUUCUCCCCAGCAUGUCUUGUUCCACAACAGUGAGUAUGAAGGAUCUGGAAGAAUGGGCCACUCAGAAGAGUUGCUGGUAAAGGAUGCAUGAGGGGAUGAAUGCUCAACAGUAUCUUCACCCUGACAUUUUUUAUCAUGUGUUCACUGGACAAGAAAGACGCCACUCUAGGAUUUAAGAUUUACUGUGUUAAAAGGAAAAAAAAGGAGAAAAAAGCAAAAAUACGAAUCUAAGAAAAAAUAUAUGGAGACGAGGACCUUCUAAGCAUGAAAACAAAGAUAGAAAUAUUAAAACGAAACACUAUGAUUUUCCAUAGGAAAAAAAAAACUGGUGAAAAGGAGUGGGGAGCAUUUCCAACCUAACAAAAUGUUAAUACUUUUUAGCAUAAAGCAAAACAAAUACAACAUAUUUCAGCAUCAAAUCACACAAAUAAAAUGACCCCAAUAGAAACCAGAAGAAUAGGUACAUAUCCAAUUUGCCAGAGUAAUACUUAAAAAGGAAAAAAAAAUCAAAUUGAAACCCAAACAAAACUUUCUUUACUAUUACUAGGAAAGCAAUAAAUUUAAACUAAAAAAUAUUUAAAAACUGAAAAUUUAUACUAUCAUGACCCUAUAAAACUGUAUCCAACUUUAUGCUAACUUAUUAAACGUUUUUAAGUGGUGACAUUGAAUUAUUUUAACUAUGAUUAUGUUGGUAAUUUCCUGAAGUACAAUAUCAAUAUGCAUCACAUUUAUACUUUACUACUCAGGAAAAAAAUGUAUACCUUGCUUACAAUAAACAUGUUCCUAUGUUCAAUUUUCCUCUAAAAAUUCCUUCCUAUGGUUUACUCAUUUUGUGGUUGCUUAAUAUGAACACAAUUCUCUUUAAAAUGUAAUCAAUCAAUUGAUAGGUAUCAUGCUUUGACUUGUGGUCACACAAAAAGUGCUAAAAUUAGUUAUUCUCUACAAAAAAUCAUAACAUUUGUAUUUUAAGUGUUAAGUGUGUGACACUGAAUGUUCAUUUGUAUUUGCAUGUAAUUUACCACAGGCAUUGUCAACAGAUUAAGAGAAUUAGUUUUGAUAAGGACUAUAUAAGGAGGACAAGGAAAGAGUAUAUAGAACCAAUAAUAUUUUCAUUGAGAUUAACCAAAUCUUUUGAUUUUUUCCCCAAUGACUUAUUAAUUCUCCGCAUGCAUUUUUUCUCUGAAAAUGUUACCAUUUAAAAGUAAUCUUUCAAUUAGAAAAAAGAAUAUAUUGAAUAGAAGUCUAUAUUCAGUAAAAUGUCUUUUCAGACAAUGGAAAACUGUACAGAUUUUCAUAAUAAAACCAGAAUAAAAUGAUCUAUAUUUUAAGAAUAAUGUAUAUGUAAUUCAUUGUUACAUUAAUUCACUAUUUUAAAAAGCAAUAAAAAGCAUUUUCACAAGGUAUUAUUAUGAAUAAAAUAAUAAAAUAAGGUACUUUGACCCGGAACCUGGCAGCCAGGCAAAGCAAAUGUUGGUGAAUUCUUUUUUUUGCCAUUACAAAUGGUGGUUACAAAUGGUGAACAAAUAUAAAUACCUGAAGUUGAAUAAAGCUGCAUUAGUAGUAAGCUUAGGAUUUUAUAAUUUUUCUUUGAAGUGAUAAAUAAUAUGUAAGUUAUGUGAUGUAUUACAGAAAAAAUAAAACAAAGCAUCAAUUUUGAUUCAAAAAUUUAUGACUAUCAUCAAGACAUCAGUUCCUUUUAUAAAUUCUAAUUCUUACCUCAUAAAACAAUAUAUCUAUUACUCUGGCCAAUUAUCUUUCACUUAAACGAAGUGCCUGGUUAGAAGGAAAGAGGAAAGUUGGUAAUUUUGACUUAAAUUGAUAAAUGUAAUAUAUACUUCCCAUUUACUGAGAGGCAUUGCCAUCAAUAUAUGGAGACUACAGUAACACUGAUUGUAAAUAUCCAAAUGUGUUUUAAAUUUACCAUGUAACAUGUGGCCCAAUUUACAAAAUCUAUUACCUAUCUAACACACUUUCUCCAAACCGGAAGAAAAGCUUUUCAUAAGUUGAAUAUAUUUUAAGUAGUAUUCUGAUGUGAGUACAUAAUAAUUUUAUACCAGUAAAGCAAGUGCUUAUACAAAGAAAAUAGCCACAGUGAGGAAUAAACCAGAUGCCUUUCUAUUAAAAUUUAAUGAUCCUUGUCAAGAGUAUUUAUAGAUCUGAGAGAGAAAUCAGAAUAUAGCAUCAGAUAAAGCACUUAAAAUUAUGCCAAUUUUUCUGACCCACCCAGAAAAUUAAAAUUUAGCCUUUUAUAACCCUAAUGGGAACAAUCCGUUAAUACCAAAUAUACAACAAUAUAAUAGCAAUUUCACCUGCUUUGAUUUCCCUAGCAUGUUUAAGCAGUAUUUUUUUCUUUUUUCCUUUUUUUCUUUUUUGAGACGGAGUCUCGCUCUGUCGCCCAGGCUGGAGUGCAGUGGCGCGAUCUCAGCUCACUGCAAGCUGCACCUCCCUGGUUCACGCCAUUCUCCUGCCUCAACCUCCCGAGUAGCUGGGACUACAGACGCCCACCACCACGCCCGGCUAAUUUUUUUGUAUUUUUAGUAGAGACGGGGUUUCACCUUGUCAGCCAGAAGUAGUAUUUUUAUUAAAAAAAAUUAAUUGCACAUCUGCUUGGCUUAGCUAUAUUAAAAUCAAUAAGGAAUUAAUAAAAUUUUAGUUUAUCAGAGAUACAAAGCAUUGUAAGAAAUUACUUCACUGAAAUUAAAAUAUUAAAAAGAAUUUUAGUCUGACUACAACUUUCAUCAAGCUAAGUUGUAACCAAAAGUCUGUCUUAUUGGCAAUUAUCGAAUCAUAAUUUGGUGGACUCAUAGGGUCACAUUCUUUGACACUCUAAGAGAAGAAGGGGUCUAUUUCUGCCCUGUUGCAUCUGGGCUUGCCUGUGGUGCUUUAACCACCACAGUGGGACAGAAAUGACAAGUUGUGAAAUCUGGGACUACUCCUGAGGUGAAUGGGGGUUCCCAUCUUGGCCUUUUGCAUCUUGAGCUACCACAUAAAAUGACUGACAACUCUGCUGAGGGAUUACAAGAAGUGGCCCUGAAAAUACAGGAAGAAGGAGAGGGGCACAGCUGAGCACACCCUUCUAGAGGUCUCCCCUAAGGCAUCAAGCAUGAGAGUGAAGCUGUCUGGAUUGUCAUCCAUACAUUAUUGUAUCAGCCAAGUUGCCAACUGAAUACCAUCCUGACUCUAAUUGGUACCACAUGGACUAGAAGAAUCACCCAGGCAUGUCCUGCUUGAAUUCCUCACUCACAAAGUAUGACACAUAAUGAAAUGUUUGUUGCUUUCAGUCCCUAAGUUUUAGAGCAGUUUAUUACACAGCAAUAAGUAACCAGAAAACAGAGGAUCUUAGAACUAAGAUGCCAUGCAACAACAGCAAGCAUAUUCUAAUACUGGCACUUCUCUAUCAUUUUGACAUAAUGUUUGAAAAUGGCAUAAUGUUUGAAAUGGCAAAAUAGGAAAUGUUUCCAGAGGCAUAAAAAUUCUCCUAAGAUUUGUCAAAAAAAGGUUGUGUAAAGAAUUUUUCCUAAAAAAC